UGUCUGACCAAAGGCAGCAUUUUGACGAAAACAUCUAACUCGAGCUACGCAGCGCGAAUGCAGACAACUGUGUGACAGCUGCGUCGGUCAGUAGUGGCGUAUUUUUGUAUCUAUUUUUUUUAAAAGUUGGAUAAUGUCCGACCCUGACGCGACGCCGUUACGAAUACGCGACCGCUCGAUAAGAUAGGAACCGGAGAAGGACGAAGAGCACUCCCUCGGUAAGUUGGCGUCGUUCCCCCCGCGAUGGAGGCAGACGCGACCCUUAGCAGCGAGCUCGAGGACCGCAGUGUCACCAGCGUCAUGUCGACGCCUCUUUGAGCAAUUAACUACCAGGAAAAUUGCGCACACCUGCCCGCGCUAGUCGUCAACUUUUAAGCGAGAGAAAAAGUUCGCAUACAAAAUGACCAUAACUUAAAGAGCACGUCCACCCGGAGCUCUACAGAGUUCUACCAGCCUACAAACAUAAGACUUUUUUCAUCAUUCUUUGAGCAACAUGUCACUCAAAGAGAACCCCUGUCGCAAGUUCCAAGCCAACAUUUUCAACAAGAGCAAGUGUCAGAACUGUUUUAAGCCCCGGGAGUCGCACCUGCUCAACGACGAAGACCUCAACCAGGCAAAACCUAUUUAUGGCGGAUGGCUGCUCCUUGCACCAGAGGGAACCAAUUUUGACAAUCCUUUGCACCGAUCUCGGAAAUGGCAGAGAAGGUUCUUCAUUCUGUAUGAACAUGGCAUACUUCGUUAUGCUUUGGAUGAAAUGCCGAGUACUCUUCCCCAGGGCACCAUAAAUAUGAACCAGUGCUCUGAUGUCAUCGAUGGAGAGUCUAGGACGGGUCAGAAGAACUCCUUGUGUAUUCUGACCCCUGAUAAAGAGCACUUCAUUCGUGCUGAGUGUAAAGAAAUCCUCAACGGUUGGCAGGAAGCUCUGACCGUGUACCCCAGAACAAACAAGCAGAAUCAGAAGAAAAAGCGCAAGGUUGAUCCACCGACUCAGCAGUGUUGUUGUGACCUUGCCUCCCAUUUUGUCCUUUCCUCCUCCCUUCCACUCCUUCCUUCCCAAACCCCUAUCCAGGAGCCGGGUCCCGCCAAGGUGACGGUCACCAGCAGCAGUGGAGGCAGCAUCCCGUGCCUGCCGAGCAGCAUUGCCAGUGCCGAGCGUGUCCCAAUGAGCCGUGCCACUUUAUGGCAAGAGGAGAACCGCUGGAAUCGAGCCACCAUCUCGUGUAGCCGCAGCGCUUCCUGCCUCAGCCAGCUGGGCCAUAGCCAACCGGACUCUACUAUCACUACUCAAGAUGAUGUUGGCACAAUGAGCACUGGACGCAAAGUGCGCGUGGAGAGUGGUUAUUUUUCCCUGGAGAAGACCAAGACGGAUCCCUCGCCACCACCUGCACAGCAUUCACAACCACUGCAGCCACCCCACUAUCUCCCCCUGUCUUCAUCAACAUGUUCUUUAGGAGCUCCCAGUCCCAGGUACAACUCUGAGCCCGAACCCCCGAUGUGUCCCUAUCCCCACUCCCAAGACCCUCUACCCUCUCCAGGUGACAUAUUGUCCCCCAGUUACUCCACUGUCAGCUCCUCCCAGAGCUCACUGGACUCUGAACAUAGCAGCGCUACACCCACCUGGGAGGGCCGCCGCAGUAGUGUUGGUGGAGGGAGCAUUGCUAGUGUGAAUAGUGCAGUGGGUAGAGUGGGUCGUUCAGGCAGAGAGUAUGCGUCACUGUCAGAUGUGCCGUGGGCUCGCAGGCUGACCCACCGCGAAGCCUUUCAUUCAGAGAAAAAACGACAAGAGCUUAGAGAACGCACACGGAGUCCCGGAAGAGAAGAGGUGGCUCGGCUGUUUGGGGAAGAGCGAAGGCGUUCUCAAGUCAUUGACCGAUUUGAAGAGAGUCCAAAUGUAGAGCGCAUGUACACGGGCAGCUCCAGCGAGCUGUCAUCAAGUGUCAACAAUGCACAGCGACAAGGCCGCAGUGAGAGACGCUAUCUGGGCGCCAAACAUGAAAUGUCAUUGGACGCAGGAAAAGACCACUCAGUCCCGGAUGUGUCCAGCUCGACUUUUGCAAACAUAAGGAGGGCCAAGUCGCUUGACCGCAGAGUCACAGAGUCUUCAAUGACUCCAGAUCUGCUGAACUUCAAAAAGGGAUGGAUGACCAAGCUGUAUGAAGAUGGAAUGUGGAAGAAGCACUGGUUUGUCCUAACAGAUCAGAGUCUGAGGUACUACAAGGACUCAAUAGCUGAGGAGGCUUCCCAACUGGACGGUGAGAUUGAUCUGUCGACAAGUUACGAUGUCAAGGAGUUUCCCGUCCAGAGAAAUUAUGGCUUCCAAAUUCUGUGUAAAGAAGGAGCGUGCACCUUGUCAGCCAUGACCUCCGGAAUCCGUCGCAACUGGAUUCAGGCCAUCAUGAAGAAUGCUCGACCCGCCAUUGCCCCCGAUGUCACUCGGAAAAACAUCUCACUGAAACUAUCCGUACUGAAGCCCAGAUCUGUCCCUGAGGAGAACAUAAAAGCUCAGGUGCUGCUGGAGCCAUGUCCACAGGUCACACCUGAGCCAAGCCCCUGUCUUGAGCCCACCAAGACUGAUGACCACAGACAGCCAAUAGAGAAUCGUGUCUCCAAUCCGCCCCUUGAGCCCCGGAAAAGCAGGGUCCGCGAGCGCCGACGGGAAGGCCGUUCAAAAACUUUUGACUGGUCUGAGUUCAAAACUGAAAAAACAGACAAGCUUAUGAAGGAGCGAGCAGACACAGUUGACCUCAGUUCAUCCCUUUCCACAACCACCUCCUGCUGCUCCAUUUCCUCUUCUCCGUCAUCGUCCUCUCCCCUGUCUACCUCGGCCCUUCAAUCCUCCUGUGUAUCAGACACUCUCCCCCCCUCGACAAUAGUACAUUCAGAAAAGAAUAACGUUAUGAGGGGCCCAGUCAGCACAUACCACCGGCCAAAUACUGUACCUGUCACUUCCACGUUGAACACAUCAUCACCAGUGGAACCGCCCAGACCUGAACGUCCAGCGCAAGGAAGGAUGGAGGUUGACCACCCUACAGCCCUGCACAAUGUUGAGGAAGAAAAGUUCACCGAAACCUUGGGUGUGCAGGAAGAAAUCGAACACAGAUGGCAUCAGGUUGAAAAAACGCCACUAAGGGAGGAGAAGCAAGUGCCUAUCACCACUGCUUCAGGGAACCCAGACAGAUUACCUCCACAUGAGCUUGCUGCAUUGCUAGACAAAGAGCUGGGACAGAAACAGAAAGAGCUGGACCAGCUGCACAGACAGAACAGUAUUUUAAAAGAGCAGCUGGAAAAUGCACUAGGAAGAGAACAGAGUGCCAGAGAUGGCUACAUCUUGCAGAGCGCAACACCCCCUUCCUCCUCGCCACGUAGAAUGCCAUGGCAACACUUGCACCAGCUCAAGCAAGACUUGCAGGGUGAAUUAGAGUCCCAGAAGCGCAAGCAGGACCUCACUCAGCAGCAGUUUCAGGUGUUAAAGAGAAGCUACACUGAAGCCCAAGAUGUAGUAGACCACCAUGAUGCUGACAUCCAAGCCCUUCAAGCGAAGCUAGCAUCUGCACUAGCUGAAAUCUUGGCAAGUGAACAAGCUGUGGCUCGAAUGCGCAAUGAACUCAAGCUGGAACAAGAGCGUUCAAAGGAACAAGACGAGGAACACGGGCGCAGCGAGGCCACCUUACGAGCUCAGCUAAAGGACAGUGAAGAAAGACUGCGUGAGGUUGAGGCCAGCCUUUUAGAGCGAAACCAGGCCCUCAGGCAUCUCGAGCACCAGCAGGCCCUGCAGCGAGACCACACCAGAGAGAUACAGAGGUUACAGGACCGACUACAAGAGGUGACUGCACGGCUUGUUGCAACAGAGGAAGGCCAGGCGCUUAAAGAAGAACGCCUGAGAAAGGAGCAGCAUUGCAUUCAAGAAAGUCACGAGAGGGAAAAACAAAAUCUUUGUAAGAGAAUAGCCGAAGCUGAAAUAGCACAUAAAUGCAUGGAGGACAGGCUACUAGAGGCCGAACAGCAGGUGGAGGCCUUGCUAAAAGGGCGGCAGGCCUCAGCAGGAGGAGAACACAUGGAGGAAAUGCUAAAGUUGCAAGAGAAUCUUGCGCAGAAGACCAGCAUGGUAGAGUCACUGAAAGAGAGCGUACGCAGGCUCGAAGAAGAGAGAGGUCUGCUCACAUGCAGAUGUCAGGAGCUUCUUAACCAGAUUGCAGAGGCAGACCGAGAGGUCAACAAGCUUCACAAUCGCCUCAAAACGGAGGAGGCAGAUUACUGCUCUCUGGAGAACUCUUAUGAGAGGGCCACCCAAGAGUUUCAGAGAAUGAGCCAAUUCCUCAGAGAGAAAGAGGAAGAGAUUCGGCAGACGAAAGAAAUGUAUGAAAGGCUGAUGGAACGUAAAGAGGAGGACUUAAGAGAGGCUCUUGUUAAAAUGACUGUACUUGGCAACAGUUUAGAAGAAACUGAACAGAAGCUUCAAGCAAAGGAGGACCUUCUUUGUCAAAUGAGUCAAAGUCUGAUAGAGAAAGUUGAGCCAAGGGAUGCUGAACAAGAUCUUAAAAUCAAGCUUGGGGUCGCAGAGGACCGCGUAAUCGAGCUUGAGCAGCACCUCAAUGACUUGCAGCUGGGAUAUGAUAAUUUACACCUCGGGAAGAAACAAGUCCAAGAACAGAACAAACGGGAACAUGUAUUUUCUUCAAACAAUGCAACUAAUAUAGAUAACUCAACCGAUGACAUCUCACAGGCUAAGAGGCCAAGAAUUCGUUGUUCUAAUAUCCAAUGUCAAAAAUAUGACAACUUAGAUGACCCAGAUGAUUGCCAUUUGAGCGAUGCAUUUGAAGAUAAAAGACAAGUGGACAACCAGGAAAACUUUGAUCUAGCUGAAGCCCUUUCCUACCCAGGUACCCCGUUCCCACAUGCCAGUGACUCUGAGAAGUUCAUUGCUAUUGUGCAUGCCCUAGAAACUAAGCUGCUCACUACUGAGGAAAAACUGAGAAAUCUAACUAGGACUCUACAGGAGCAACGUUCCACUCAUGUUGAUGUGUCCAAGAAAGAUUUUAAAAUGGUUGAAAACAAGCCUUACUCAGAUAAAAAUGUUAUGUGUGCCAGUGGACCUUCUCUCAAUAAUCCUUAUGUAAAGGCCUUGCAUUGUGUGGAAACAAGUCGAGAGAAAGUCAAGGCUAUUCUGUCUGGCACUCACGAUACCACUGAUUCGCAGCUUCACUCUCUGACAGAGGUUGAAAACGAGCUGUUCAGUGCAUCAAUGUAUAUCCGCCAUGCACAAAAGACCUUGGAUGAACAAUCGCCUGCUCUCCCUCAAACGUCAGAAUCCUUAGAUAAAGAAGCAAUUAAUCUCUUUGCCAAAACACUUUCUUUUGAGGCACUUGUUUUAAAUAAAAUGGCUUUGCUGGUACAGUCCUCAGAGUCUGAUCUUCUACAAACGCUGACAGCGAUAUGGAAGGACAUAGAGAACAUUAAAAGUGGUGACAAAGAUUGCUUAGCUAUAGUUUAUGCAGAUGUUUUGACUAGGAAGUUAAUGUUGGAGAAUGCAUUUUGGAAGGAACUAGAGAAUGAGGUGACACCAUGUGAGGGGUUGAAUGUUGCCAAAUCUCAGGAGGCCAGUGUUGCAGCUGAUGCAGACAUAAACACAUCAGCUAUAUUCAAUACUUUAAUCAAAGCAGAACUGUCUUACUCUAUUCAAAACCUUAAGCUUUGCUAUGACGAGAAAUUCAGGCUACUUAAAGGGGAGCUGACUGAAGCUAAUCACAAUCUAUAUCAAAGGGAAAUGGCAUUGAAGACAAUUAUUGAAGCCUCUAAAAGGUCUGAUUUGAAAAAUGUAAUCAAAGAAGUUAAAAGCAACUUUGGCCUUGGUAAACAAAAGUUAGCUGAUAUGCACCCACCUGAACUUGCUCCAUACAAAGAGCAGAUCAAACAGCAAGACGCCCGUGAGCUCGCUGAAGAGAUUAUAGAGCGACAUUUAGCCGAGCAGGUGCCAUCUUGUAGUGUUGACUCCAUUCAGUCUCUGCAUGACACACAUGACUGUUUGGCUACUGAGCUUCAACAACAAGCAGCAAAGCUCUACACCUAUGCACAGGAAAUACAAAGCAGUGGCAACCAUCCUGAAUUAGCUAAAAUGGUCAAUGCACUUUUAGGGCCUCAAACAUCUCAUGUUUUUACUAGUACCUCUCUUUGUAUGCGAGAAGCCCUCAUCCAGGCUCAGGUGGCUUAUGUGGCGUGCAGAUUACGCUCCAUGCAUGAACGAAACGUGAGUUGGUGUAAACAGACACAUCAGAACAUGGAUGCCCUCGUGCAGCAGCAUGCCUGCAGCAUCAGGGCAAUCCACGAGAAGUACGAAACAUCCUUUCAGGAGGAGCGCCACAAAAUCUCUCGAACACUGGCCAUUCUUCAGAAGGAAAACAUAACUCUCAAGUGUGAAGUCAGUCAACGUUCCAACCAACUCUCACAACAACAAGAGCAGCUGGUGCUCCUGGAAGAACAUUUCAAGAUGCAAACUGAGGAGCUCAAGCGGAAGCACAAGCAAGAGCUAAACCUAGCUGAGAAAGACCGGGCAUCAACAGAGCUGGCCUUUGUAGAGACCUCAGUAGACAGCCAGCAGAAGCUGAAAGAUCUGCUAUCGGACAUGGACGCCAUGAAGCAGCAGCACCAGAGUCAUGUGAGAAAGCUAGAGGAACAAUUUGAGCAGAGAAUCUCUGAGCUUGAGCACAUCUACAAAGAGGAGAUUUUAAAACUGCAUUUCCAGCUUGAGGACAAAAUUUGCAAUGUCCAAGAAGUGGACGAGAAAGACCCUGUGGUUUCUCACCAACCCUCUUUUGAGGCUUCAGCGCCAAUGGAAGAAGAGGAACAAGGGCAGGAGGGAGGUGCAUGCGCCAUGUCAGAGGUGGACACUAUGGGGCUUCUGAAAGACAGGAUUCAAGAACUGGAAACUCAGAUGAUCAGCAUGAGGGAUGAACUGGAAAUCAAGCACCUGGAAGGAGAUGUGGCCAGCCUGAGGGAGAAAUACCAGAGAGACUUUGAAAGUCUUAAGGCCACGUGUGAGCGUGGCUUCGCAGCAAUGGAAGAAACCCACCAGAAAGUGGUCGACGACCUCCAGAGGCAGCAUCAGAGGGAGAUUUCUAAACUCAUGGAAGAGCGAGAGAGGCUCCUAGCGGAGGAGACUGCUGCCACUAUUGCAGCCAUUGAAGCUAUGAAGAAUGCACACAAGGAGGAGCUAGAGAAGACCCAGCGCUCCCAGAUCAGUGGACUGAACUCUGAUAUUGAUGAACUGCGAUUACAAUAUGAAGAAGAGCUGCAGUCCAUCCAGAGGGAGCUGGAGGUUCUGUCUGAACAGUAUUCUCAGAAAUGUCUGGAGAACGCCCAUCUGGCUCAGGCCCUGGAGGCUGAAAGACAGGCACUCAGGCAGUGUCAAAGAGAGAACCAGGAGCUCAACGCUCACAACCAGGAAUUGAAUAACCGCCUGUCUGCAGAGAUCACGCGCAUGCGCUCUUGUUUCAGUGGUGAGACAGCACUGUCGCCGGUCACGCAGGGCAAAGAUGUGUAUGAACUGGAGGUGCUGCUUCGAAUCAAGGAGUCAGAGAUACAAUACCUUAAACAGGAAAUCCACUCUUUGAAGGACGAACUGCAGACUGCUCUGAGGGACAAGAAGUACACUACAGACAAAUACAAAGACAUCUACACAGAGCUGAGCAUUGUGAAAGCAAAGGCUGACUGUGAUAUUGGCAAGCUGAAGGAGAAGCUUCUCGUUGCCACCGAAGCGUUAGGCGAGAGGACCGUUGAUGGGACAGUCACAUCUGGAUAUGAUAUCAUGAAAUCCAAAAGUAACCCUGACUUCAUCAAAAAGGAAAAAUCAACUCCCCCCAAGUCAUCCAGAGGCCUGAGGUCAAAGUCUGUCACUGAACAGGUCCCAUGGGACAGCUGACACUCCCCAUGUGGGGUUAAGCCCUCCCACAAAACCUGCCCAAGAUGCGCCGUAGAGUCUGAAAGAGGGACUGACGGUGCAGGAACGCAUGCGGCUGUUUGAGGAAAAGGAUUCCAAAAAGAUUCAAAUGUCAAGAGUCUGAAGCUUCUCUUUACCAGCUUUUUGUUUUUAUGGGGUUUGUUUUUUUCAUUUUUGCUAAGACUGUGCCAGCACUUGCUCAGACUCAUGGGAGUGAGAGGUCAGACUUUCUGCUUACAUGGAAAAAGUUUUUUGCAUGUUCAAAAAAGGUAUUUAAUAUUUCUAAAGUGGUGUGGAAUAAGCUGUGAGAGGGAUACAUGACAGCCUUUUUAAUCAUCUUCCCAAAUGCCAAAAUAGCUAAAACACAGUAUGAAUAAUAUAUAUCUAUAUAUUUCUUGAUAUUUGUCUGCUGUAUUUUAUAUUCUUAGUUCCUUCAGUAUAUCUGAAUGAUUUUAUUGUUUAGUGUACAUAACUACUGGACAUACAGUAUGUAAGAGCAUGUGUUUGUUGCGUGUUGGGGCAUCUGCUGUACUCUAGUUUGACUGAUGGUGGAAAUUGUAUUUUUAUUUUUCUUUCAUUAUUAAAAUAUGUCUGUGUGUUGAAAGGGGUGGGAUGGGGUGGGAGGUCAGUUGGUGGGAUUGCACUUACAACUUGACUACUUGAGGAACCUUUUUUUAUGUAUCCAAUCGGUGUUGUGAUUUUCUCUGAUCAUUAGAGUGCAACCAAAUAUGGUGACGCGUUUUGUGGCGUACUUUUUAUCCGGUUUCAUAUGUGUGACUUUCGUGCUUUGCAUGACUAAUACUGUCAUUUCAAUCGCAAAUCGCAGCACGUGGCCUCCUUUUCCUACUUUGUGACGCUUUCAGUGUGGAACCUUUAACCUUAAUAAGCUUUGCUUUUGCAAGUCCUACUGUUUUAACGUUACCUCGAAGCACUUGGCCCCCGCUUUAUUCUAGUUGUGCCUCAACCCAGUGAAGAACACCCAUUAAAAAACGUAAAUAAAAAAACUGUGCAGCUAUGGAAACACACUGUGUAGUAUUCAAAACCAUGCUUCAGAAAUGUACACAUACACAGUAUAUAUGCGCCACAUUGAACACUUCUUCCGUGUGUUCUUGUUUUCAACUUGCUCACUCGCUCUAUAUGAAAUAUACAAAUAUUUUUUUUUAUUUGAAUGUAUAACAUGAAAUAAAUCAAGCGUUUGGAAAAUA